rnacentral:rRNA from 1 species
GACGAAGGGGGCUAGCGUUGUUUCGGAAUUACUGGGCGUAAAGCGCGUGUAGGCGGUUGCCCAAGUCGGGUGUGAAAGCCUUGAGCUCAACUCAAGAAAUGCACUCGGUACUGGGUGACUAGAGGACCGGAGAGGAUAGUGGAAUUCCCAGUGUAGUGGUGAAAUACGUAGAGAUUGGGAAGAACACCAGUGGCGAAGGCGGCUAUCUGGACGGUUUCUGACGCUAAGACGCGAAGGCGUGGGGAGCAAACAGG